UGGAAUCUUGCACUUCUGCAUCCAAAUGAUCACCCAUCAGUACAUUCUGAUUCAAAUAUAAAGUGAAAAAGAUAAAAUCUGUGGAGAAGCUGCGUUCCUGGAGGCUCACCGUUCAUGUAGACCUACUCAUUCCCCCGAGCAUGCUGAGUCCAGCCUUGCAGAUAAAGAAUUUAACCCAGAAAGAAAAGGUUUCCUCAUUCGAAAGUGCGCUGAAAAUACUGCACAUGUGUGAAUUCGAGAAUAACCGCUCGGGGAGUGGGCGAGGUCGAGCCACAUGCCCUCCACGGUGACGCCUGUUUGGUGGUUUCUGUGAUGCGGUGAGACACACCC
rnacentral:lncRNA from 1 species